AAAAUUGGUUUUAUAGUGCCAGCCCACUGAGACGCCAUAUCCUUGUUUUAUCCCCUUAAAGCUGAGCCCCAGGCAGAGUAACAAUAAGUACCUGUUUUAAUGACUUUUGGUAUGAAGUGACCGGGAAUUAAUCCAACGGCCUUCUGCUAUCUGGGCAGAUGCUCUAUCCAUUAGUGAGUCAGUUAGGUUUAACGCCGCUUUUAACAUUAUUCAGUUAUAUCAGUGGCAUGUCAGCUUAAUGUGGGAGGAAAGCCCGAAGUGAUGCAGGUUUUAGAUGUUUACCACUUCGGUGAAACCCAUGAGCAGGGGUAUGGUGCUGACAAACCUAGAAACAUAAUCGGGGCGAACCGGGAUUCGAACCCACAAUCACAGCCAUGAUAUGAAUAAAACUAAAUUCAACUAAAUGUAGUCAUCUUUCUCCAAGAAAAAUUACUAUUCAACAUUUUCAUCUCUUAAAGAAUAAAACAAUGUGACAUAUUGUUAAUAUCAGUAUGAAAAUUGGAGCACCUAAAUUUUCGUAUCACCCUAAAUGAUAUUACUCACCGGAUGUGCAUGACAAACUCUAGCUAUAUCUUCACAUGAUGCACCGUAUUCCAUUGCAAAUGCUGCCUCAUUAA